rnacentral:rRNA from 1 species
AGGGUUUGAUCAUGGCUCAGAACGUACGCUGGCGGCACGCCUAACACAUGCAAGUCGAACGAAGUAGCAAUACUUAGUGGCAGACGGGUGAGUAACAUGUAGGUAUCUACCCUUUGGCCUGGAAUAACACGAGGAAACUUGUGCUAAUACCGGAUAAGUCUUUACGGAGAAAGCUUUAUGCACCAUUGGAUGAGCCUGCACUUGAUUAGUUUGUUGGUGGGGUAAUGGCUUACCAAGACUUUGAUCAAUAGCUGAUUUGAGAGGAUGAUCAGCCACAUUGGGACUGAGACACGGCCCAAACUCCUACGGGAGGCAGCAGUGGGGAAUCUUGCACAAUGGAGGAAACUCUGAUGCAGCGAUGCCGCGUGAGUGAAGAAGGCCUUUGGGUUGUAAAGCUCUUUCGUCGGGGAAGAAAAUGACUGUACCCGAAUAAGAAGGUCCGGCUAACUUCGUGCCAGCAGCCGCGGUAAUACGAAGGGACCUAGCGUAGUUCGGAAUUACUGGGCUUAAAGAGUUCGUAGGUGGUUGAAAAAGUUGGUGGUGAAAUCCCAGAGCUUAACUCUGGAACUGCCAUCAAAACUUUUCAGCUAGAGUUUGAUAGAGGAAAGCAGAAUUUCUAGUGUAGAGGUGAAAUUCGUAGAUAUUAGAAAGAAUACCAAUUGCGAAGGCAGCUUUCUGGAUCAUUACUGACACUGAGGAACGAAAGCAUGGGUAGCGAAGAGGAUUAGAUACCCUCGUAGUCCAUGCCGUAAACGAUGUGUGUUAGACGUUGGAAAUUUAUUUUCAGUGUCGCAGCGAAAGCGAUAAACACACCGCCUGGGGAGUACGACCGCAAGGUUAAAACUCAAAUGAAUUGACGGGGACCCGCACAAGUAGUGGAGCAUGUGGUUUAAUUCGAAGAUACGCGCAGAACCUUACCAACACUUGACAUGUUCGUCGCGACUUUAAGAGAUUAAAGUUUUCGGUUCGGCCGGACGAAACACAGGUGCUGCAUGGCUGUCGUCAGCUCGUGUCGUGAGAUGUUGGGUUAAGUCCCGCAACGAGCGCAACCCUCACUUUUAGUUGCCAUCAUUAAGUUGGGCACUCUGAAAGAACUGCCAGUGAUAAGCUGGAGGAAGGUGGGGAUGACGUCAAGUCCUCAUGGCCCUUACGUGUUGGGCUACACACGUGCUACAAUGGUAUCUACAACAGGAAGCAAGACGGCGACGUCAAGCAAAUCCUUAAAAGAUACCUCAGUUCGGAUUGCACUCUGCAACUCGAGUGCAUGAAGCUGGAAUUACUAGUAAUCGUGGAUCAGCGUGCCACGGUGAAUGCGUUCCCGGGUCUUGUACACACCGCCCGUCACACCAUGGGAGUUGGUUCUACCCGAAGGCGAUGUGCUAACUUCGGAGGCAGUCGACCACGGUAAGGUCAGCGACUGGGGUGAAGUCGUAACAAGGUAACCGUA